UUCAUUUCCAUGAGGUCCCAGGAAGUGGCUGGUGGAGUGAGGCACUGCAGACACUGGUGGGGCAGCAGGCAGGGGAGACAGGAGAGGCAUGAGCUGGAAGUCUGAAGUCUGGGUGGGCUGAGAGGCCUAGGACUCCAGGGUCUAAAGAGCAUGCAGGGCAAGUGACUCCUGGGGUGGUCCAGGCAGCCACCCAGGGGUCACCAUCCCCUUGCAGCCAAAACCUGAUGGUCUCGUGACCCAUAGCUGGAGCCUUCUGGUUAAACUGCCCCAAGGGGAAACAUUCAUGGGUGGGCUGGGGACUCUAGGACCUCUUCAGGUUUAAAGACCCCUGAUUCUUCUUUUUAAAUGGCAAUCAGGAGGUCAUUGAGAUCAGAACAGCCUCACAAGAAAUCCAUUAAUUGAUUAAUUAAGCCAAAAGCUUUUAUUGAGCACCUACUGCAUGCCAGGCACUAUGCAAAUUGCUGAGAGAGUAAGUCAGGUCUUGUCCUCCUGGAGCUCAUGGCCUGGGGGACACUGGGUUUGGUCUGGAGAGUCCUCGCUUCUAGUCCUGCCCCUCCACAACCCAUUCUCUGCCCAGCACCUGGGAUACCUCCCAAGUAUGGAAACAGGGCAAGGAAUACCCUGCUGAAGCCUCCGUGGUCUCUCAUUGUCCUUAAAACAAAUCCUGAACUUGGUAUUUAGGCUCUGAGUCACCUCCCUGGCCUCUCCCUCUCGGCCCACCCCUUUGCCUGUGAUGGUCCGGCACUCUGGUCCCCCGUCCAGCCAUGGCGUUUCCCGACUGGGCUCUUCCGUCGUUGUUGCCUUCUGAACUGUGAAGACUCGGUUCCGUGAUCCCUGCUCAGGGACUCCAGACCGUCCCAGCUGAGCUUAGAAUGACUCACAUUAUCCCGCCUGCUUCCUUUCAGUACUUCUCACGCUUGGCAACUAUCUUUGUUAGUUUGCUUUACGGGUGUCUUACAAGGCACCAGAAGGUAAGUGCCAUGACCUUCACUGCCGUGUUCAUGACCUUCGCUGCCGUGUUCAUGACCUUCACUGCCGUGUUCAUGAUCUUCAUUGCCGUGUUCUCUGAGCCUGACAUAAAGCUCACACCCUACUGUUCAAAGCCUCCAUCACCUCCCAGUGCCUGCAGAAGGCACCAAGCCUUCCACAAUCCAGCCCUAUCAUGGGAUUAAAUCUCUCUGUCUAAUUUCUUUCCACUUUCCUUCUCCUACCUUUGCCUUCGUUGGAUGGAGCCAGGCAUGGUUUCAGUGGCGACCCUGCCCACACUCCUCCGUGCAUUCUUCAGCUUUCCCUGUGGUAUUUCUAAGUCCUCUCUGCUCACCAAGGCCCAGCAGGACUCUUACAGGAGAUCUUCUAGCAUCUUUCCUUUCUCGGAAUGACCAUGAGCAUGGACCUCACUUUCCACCCUGGCUUGUGUAUUGAAAGAGUAUCCCUGUCUUCUCCUGGACAUGCACAGUCUGCAUCUGGUCUGCCUGGGUGGUGCCCCUCCCCUGGCACUUUGCAGGUCCCCUGAAGUGCUGGGGAAUGAGCUGAAGGAGUGAGUGGAUGGGAAGGGCAGGGUAGAGUGAGAUUUAGCUGUGGCCUCAUCCCCGCCCCUGGGUCCCCCUGUUCACACUCACCAGGCAACUGGUGUGGUUCUUCUCGGCUGCCACUGAGAGGGAUCCGGAGAUGAUGAACUGUAUGGGGAGAGGGGACCAGGUGAGGCCUCAGCCAGGACCCUGGGCAGGGCAGACCCUGCUUUUCUUGGGAUGUGUUUAGCUUUGGCAGUUGGGUGGCUGGAGGUGCCAUUUGCUGAGAUGAGGAGGUGAUAGGAGGGAUAGGGCUGGGGACAAGCCUAUGGCAGGAAUCAAGAGUUUCAUUUUGAUAUACUGAGUUGCCUUUUCAGCAUCAAGCGG
rnacentral:lncRNA from 1 species